rnacentral:rRNA from 1 species
CGGACGGGUGAGUAACGCGUGGAUAACCUACCUAUAAGACUGGGAUAACUUCGGGAAACCGGAGCUAAUACCGGAUAAUAUAUUGAACCGCAUGGUUCAAUAGUGAAAGACGGUUUUGCUGUCACUUAUAGAUGGAUCCGCGCCGCAUUAGCUAGUUGGUAAGGUAAUGGCUUACCAAGGCAACUAUGCGUAGCCGACCUGAGAGGGUGAUCGGCCACACUGGAACUGAGACACGGUCCAG